rnacentral:tRNA from 1 species
GGGCGUGUAGCUCAGCGGGAGAGCGCCCGCCUCACACGCGGGAGGUCACUGGUUCAAAUCCAGUCACGCCCA